AACACGUGGGGAACCUGCCCCAUAGUCUGGGAUACCACUUGGAAACAGGUGCUAAUACCGGAUAAGAAAGCGGAUCGCAUGAUCAGCUUUUAAAAGGCGGCGUAAGCUGUCGCUAUGGGAUGGCCCCGCGGUGCAUUAGCUAGUUGGUAAGGUAAAGGCUUACCAAGGCGAUGAUGCAUAGCCGAGUUGAGAGACUGAUCGGCCACAUUGGGACUGAGACACGGCCCAAACUCCUACGGGAGGCAGCAGGU
rnacentral:rRNA from 1 species